CGCCAGACUCCUACGGGAGGCAGCAGUGGGGAAUAUUGCACAAUGGGGGAAACCCUGAUACAGCGACGCCGCGUGAGUGAAGAAGUACUUCGUUAUGUAAAGCUCUAUCAGCAGGGAAGAAAAUGACGGUACCUGACUAAGAAGCCCCGGCUAACUACGUGCCAGCAGCCGCGGUAAUACGUAGGGGGCAAGCGUUAUCCGGAUUUACUGGGCGUAAAGGGAGCGUAGACGGUAGAGCAAGUCUGAAGUGAAAGCCCGCGGCUCAACUGCGGGACUGCUUUGGAAACUGUUCAACUGGAGUGCUGGAGAGGUAAGCGGAAUUCCUAGUGUAGCGGUGAAAUGCGUAGAUAUUAGGAGGAACACCAGUGGCGAAGGCGGCUUACUGGACAGUAACUGACGUUGAGGCUCGAAAGCGUGGGGAGCAAACAGGAUUAGAUACCCUGGUAG
rnacentral:rRNA from 1 species